rnacentral:rRNA from 1 species
AGAGUUGAUCAUGGCUCAGGAUUAACGCUGGCGGCAUGCCUAAUACAUGCAAGUCGAAUGAGAAGCUUGCUUCUCAUGGCGAACGGGUGAGUAACACGUAGGUAACCUGCCUUACACUCGAGGAUAACCGUUGGAAACGACGGAUAAUACUGGAUAGGACAGAGAUUCGCAUGAGACUCUGUUUAAAAGCAAUGGUGUAUGAGGGGCCUGCGGUGCAUUAGCUAGUUGGUGAGGUAACGGCUCACCAAGGCGAUGAUGCAUAGCUGGACUGAGAGGUUGAACAGCCACAAUGGGACUGAGAACGGCCCAUACUCCUACGGGAGGCAGCAGUAGGGAAUUUUCGGCAAUGGGGGAAACCCUGAACCCGAGCAAUGCCGCGUGAACGAUGAAGUAUUUCGGUAUGUAAAGUUCUUUUAUUAGGAAAGAUAGUGACGGUACCUAAUGAAUAAGCUCCGGCUAACUACGUGCCAGCAGCCGC